rnacentral:lncRNA from 1 species
AAAUUCUAAACGUCUUCCUUAGCUUGCAAGCUCUUUAAGCUGAGUCACCUCAUCUACAUCUAAGUAGAUUCAUCUUUUUUUUUUUCUUUUUUUUUUUUCAAAAAAAAUUGGUCGGAAGAUGAACUUCAUUUCAAGACCUCACCCAAAACAGGGAAGGCAUUGUGACAACAAACAAAGCAACCCAGCAAGGAAGCCAAAGAAGCUAUCUAAUCUGUACUUUCAAAUAAACAAGAACAAACAGACUGUCCCAGAUAAUGAUAUUAACAUAUAAACAAAAUUGGGUGGAGAGGCGAAAAGACUAGUCGCACCUUGAUCCCCUCUCUCCUUGCCGACAACCUCCUCCUUUCCACCUAUCUUCCCCUUCCUCUCCUUAUCUCCCCUUCUUUUUCUCCUAUCUUUUCCCUUCCUCUUAUUCCCUCUUCUCCUCCCCUUCCCUUUUCUAGAUAGUAUAGAUCUGUUUGUCUGUUUUUUUUGUUUAUUGUUUUUGCAGUGUUCUAGGUGGCUAGUGUUGUCUUUGUCUCAGCUGUGGUGACAGUAGUGAAGCUGGAUUGUGUCUUUUCUCUGGAGAAUUGUGAUACCUAGUGGCUGAUGUUUUGUCUAUGUUUCAACAGCGGCGGCAGCAACGACGCUAGUGGUAGUUGUUGGGAUGUGGUGCUUUUCUCUACUCUGCACCGACAGAAGAACUAUGAUUGUUCUAGGUUUUCUUUGUCAGGUUUUGAGUAGAAGUGGAGUGCUUCUCAUGGGUCCUCUUUUACUGUUGUUUUUGUGUUCCUCCUCUGUGUUCUCUCAUGAUUUCUGCUAUGGUAUGCCUUGCAGUUUGUG